UACGGGGGAUGCGAGCGUUAUCCGGAAUGAUUGGGCGUAAAGGGUCCGCAGGUGGCCCGGUCAGUCCGCUGUCAAAGCCUGGGGCUCAACCCUGGAGAGGCGGCGGAGACCACCGGGCUUGAGUCCGGUAGGGGCAGAGGGAAUUCCCGGUGGAGCGGUGAAAUGCGUAGAUAUCAGGAGGAACACCGGUGGUGUAAACGGCUUUCUGGACCAUAACUGACGCUGAGGCACGAAAGCGUGGGUAGCAAACAGG
rnacentral:rRNA from 1 species